rnacentral:rRNA from 1 species
UUGACCUCAAAUCAGGUAGGACUACCCGCUGAACUUAAGCAUAUCAAUAAGCGGAGGAAAAGAAACUAACAAGGAUUCCCCUAGUAACUGCGAGUGAAGCGGGAAAAGCUCAAAUUUAAAAUCUGUUGGCAUUGGCUAACUGAGUUGUAAUCUAGAGAAGUGUUACCCGUGCUGGACCAUGUACAAGUCUCCUGGAAUGGGGCAUCACAGAGGGUGAGAAUCCCGUCUUUGACAUGGACUACCAGUGCUUUUGUGGUAUGCUUUCAAAGAGUCGAGUUGUUUGGGAAUGCAGCUCAAAAUGGGUGGUAAAUGCCAUCUAAAGCUAAAUAUUGGCGAGAGACCGAUAGCGAACAAGUACCGUGAGGGAAAGAUGAAAAGAACUUUGGAAAGAGAGUUAAACAGUACGUGAAAUUGCUGAAAGGGAAACGCUUGAAGUCAGUCGCGUUGAUUUGGAAUCAACCCUGCUUUUGCUGGGUGUACUUCCUUGUCAACGGGUCAGCAUCAAUUUUGACUGUUGGAUAAAGUUGUUGGGAAUGUGGCAUCUUUGGAUGUGUUAUAGCCCAAUGAUGCAUACAGCAGUUGGGAUUGAGGAACUCAGCACGCUGAAAGGCCGGGUUUCGACCACGUCCGUGCUUAGGAUGCUGGCAUAAUGGCUUUAAUCGACCCGUC